rnacentral:lncRNA from 1 species
AGGAGGCACAAAGAAUAUGGCACCAGAAAGAUGCAGAAGGCAGCAGGGGAAACAGCAAUUGUCGCCACAAAUGAAGAAUGUUCACGUUUGUUUUACAACUUCUUAAUGCACCGCAUUCAGUCUUCCUGUAAACUUGACUGCUUAGUCCUUAAAGUAUAUUGGUGGAGCAAUGUCUGCAUGCCUUCGUCAACACAUCUAUUGGCCUGUUUGUCCCAGCAUCCCAGUUGGAAUGGGAACCCUUCUAAGAAAAGCCUUUAUCCUUUACUCACCUACAAACUCACUGGGCACCCCCGGAAUUGUGGUCCUGGGCGUAUAGCAGGUGUCUAGUCACUCUUUUCUGGUUGUGCCAGUAAUUGGGGCCUGAUUACAAUUCUGUUUCAUCCAGUGCACCUCAAUGGAGAGAAACCAGCAAGAAACUCAUGCUUUCUGCCCCAUCUCCUUCCUUUCUUCUGUGUGUAAAGUGGAGAAAAGGCUGGAGAGUGUGGUAAGAUAGGAAGAAACCAAGCAAAGCACACAUAAACAAACAAAUGAAUAAAUAAAAGGGAAAAAUAGGGGAGAUUUUGAGUUGUCAAGAAAAGAAGAACUCUGAACUUUUGGCACAGACUCAAACCUGGAAACCCAGUGAGGUUUGCCCAUCACUAAUGAUCACAUAAUAAUAUGUUCCCAGGGGAGGGGCUGAGAGAGGCUAUUAAAAUACCGCAGCUCUGGUGCUCUAUGGGAGACAAGUUUUCUGAAACGUGGUCCCUGUCAGAUUUCCCUUGAGAGUCAAAGGGAAAAAUGACUGCAGUUUGGCUUCUAAAAGGUAAAAUGUUGGGAAAACUCACUGGGGAGGUUUCUUUCCCCAGCACAGGGUUUGGAAAUGCCUGCGUUUGCGUUGUAUAUUUUAAAUGUGGUGAUGGGCCAGCUUGUUAAGUGUGCUGGCUUGCUUACUGGGUGACUGGCAGGCAGCCGUAAGUGAGCGGAAACAAAACCAUUUGUGGGGUAUGAGGUGGCCAAGGUAGCCAGAACCAGCCUUUUGUGAUGUCUUCAAUAAAAACAGUUAUUUCAACGGGUGUUGGCAACUCGGCCUUUCCUUCUAGAAAGAUAGGAUUCUUGGGUGGAGUACACAUGGGUCUACGGGCAUCUUGACUGAUCACUGUGGCCUAUGAAAAGCCCUAAUUUCACCAUAUCUUAUGGGUUACACAUGGUAGGGCUCAGUAAAGGGUUUUGUGUUUUGUUUUUUGUGUUUUUUGAGACAGAGUGUCAGUCUUGUUGCCCAG